rnacentral:rRNA from 1 species
AACGAACGCUGGCGGCAUGCCUAACACAUGCAAGUCGAACGAGACCUUCGGGCCUAGUGGCGCACGGGUGCGUAACGCGUGGGAACCUGCCCUUAGGUUCGGAAUAACUCCCCGAAAGGGGUGCUAAUACCGGAUAAUGUCUUCGGACCAAAGAUGUAUGGCCUUUGGAUGGGCCCGCGUUGGAUUAGCUAGUUGGUAGGGUAAACGCCUACCAAGGCGACGAUCCAUAGCUGGUCUGAGAGGAUGAUCAGCCACACUGGGACUGAGACACGGCCCAGACUCCUACGGGAGGCAGCAGUAGGGAAUAUUGGACAAUGGGCGAAAGCCUGAUCCAGCAAUGCCGCGUGAGUGAUGAAGGCCUUAGGGUUGUAAAGCUCUUUUACCCGGGAUGAUAAUGACAGUACCGGGAGAAUAAGCUCCGGCUAACUCCGUG